rnacentral:tRNA from 1 species
GGUGAGAUGGCCGAGUGGUUGAAGGCGCGCCCCUGCUAAGGGUGUAUGUGAUAUUAAUUUACAUCGAGGGUUCGAAUCUCUCUCUCACCG